rnacentral:rRNA from 1 species
GAGUUUGAUCCUGGCUCAGGAUGAACGCUAGCGGCAGGCUUAACACAUGCAAGUCGAGGGGCAUCGGGAGGGAAGCUUGCUUUCCUUGCCGGCGACCGGCGCACGGGUGAGUAACACGUAUGCAACCUGCCCUCUUCAGGGGGACAACCUUCCGAAAGGGAGGCUAAUCCCGCGUAUAUCGGUUUCGGGCAUCCGAGAUCGAGGAAAGAUUCAUCGGAAGAGGAUGGGCAUGCGGCGCAUUAGCUUGACGGCGGGGUAACGGCCCACCGUGGCGACGAUGCGUAGGGGUUCUGAGAGGAAGGUCCCCCACACUGGUACUGAGACACGGACCAGACUCCUACGGGAGGCAGCAGUGAGGAAUAUUGGUCAAUGGGAGAGAUCCUGAACCAGCCAAGCCGCGUGAGGGAAGACGGCCCUAUGGGUUGUAAACCUCUUUUGUCGGAGAACAAAACCCGGGACGUGUCCCGGACUGCGUGUAUCCGAAGAAAAAGCAUCGGCUAACUCCGUGCCAGCAGCCGCGGUAAUACGGAGGAUGCGAGCGUUAUCCGGAUUUAUUGGGUUUAAAGGGUGCGUAGGCGGUCCGUUAAGUCAGCGGUAAAAUUGCGGGGCUCAACCCCGUCGAGCCGUUGAAACUGGCAGACUUGAGUUGGCGAGAAGUACGCGGAAUGCGCGGUGUAGCGGUGAAAUGCAUAGAUAUCGCGCAGAACUCCGAUUGCGAAGGCAGCGUACCGGCGCCAGACUGACGCUGAGGCACGAAAGCGUGGGGAUCGAACAGGAUUAGAUACCCUGGUAGUCCACGCAGUAAACGAUGAAUGCUGGUUGUCCGGGUCGAAUGAGAUCUGGGCGGCGAAGCGAAAGCGAUAAGCAUUCCACCUGGGGAGUACGCCGGCAACGGUGAAACUCAAAGGAAUUGACGG